AUGGAGUUGGAGUUGAGGUCGGUGGAGCGUCAGGGGGCCCACGAGGCAGGGGGCGCGCGCCCAGGGGGGCAGGCGCGCCCCCCACCCUUGCGGACAGGUGGAGGCCCCCCUGACGUGGAUUCUUCUUCUAGUAUUUUUAAUAUUUUCCAAAAAUAUGUUCCGUGGAGUUUCAGGUCAUUCCGGGAACUUUUGUUUCUGCACAUAAAUAACACCAUGGAAAGUCUGCUGAAAACAGCGCCAGUCCGGGUUAGUUCCAUUCAAAUCAUGCAAGUUAGAGUCCAAAACAAGGGCAAAAGUGUUUGGAAAAGUAGAUACGACGGAGACGUACCAACUCCCCCAAGCUUAAACCUUUGUUUGUCCUCAAGCAAUUUAGUUGAUAAACUGAAAGUGAUAAAGAAAAACUUUUACAAACUCUGUUUGCUCUUGUUGUUGCAAAUAUGUAAAGCCAACAUUCAAGUUUUCAGCAAAGAUUAUGACUAA
rnacentral:rRNA from 1 species